GAUGAACGCUGGCGGCGUGCCUAAUACAUGCAAGUCGAGCGAACAGACGAGGAGCUUGCUCCUCUGACGUUAGCGGCGGACGGGUGAGUAACACGUGGAUAACCUACUUAUAAGACUGGGAUAACUUCGGGAAACCGGAGCUAAUACCGGAUAAUAUAUUGAACCGCAUGGUUCAAUAGUGAAAGACGGUUUUGCUGUCUCUUAUAGAUGGAUCCGCGCCGCAUUAGCUAGUUGGUAAGGUAACGGCUUACCAAGGCAACGAUGCGUAGCCGACCUGAGAGGGUGAUCGGCCACACUGGAACUGAGACACGGUCCAGACUCCUACGGGAGGCAGCAGUAGGGAAUCUUCCGCAAUGGGCGAAAGCCUGACGGAGCAACGCCGCGUGAGUGAUGAAGGUCUUCGGAUCGUAAAGCUCUGUUAUUGGGGAAGAACAAAUGUGGAAGUAACUAUGCACGUCUUGACGGUACCUAAUCAGAAAGCCACGGCUAACUACGUG
rnacentral:rRNA from 1 species